AUGGACGAGCGCGAGCGUCCAUCGGCAAGCGCCUCGAGCAGGGCACCGGAUGGUCGUCGCGCCAUCUGGAAGACCAUAUGGGGGUGCCCUGCUCCCCCAAAGGUACGAGUGUUUGCAUGGCGGCUGGUCUCAAACUCCCUUGCUACUUGGGCUAAUAAAUUUCCUAGAACUUUGGAGCCUAAUGAUAUGUGUCCACUUUGUGGUGUGGAACGCGAGGAUGUCUUCCAUGCUAUGUGCAGAUGUCCACGGGCAAAGGACCUAUGGAGCGCGAUGGCGAAGGACUGGAUUCUUCCGGACAUCAGUUUGAUCCAGAACACGGGGCCGGAGUGGUUAUUCGGUGUUCUGGAGCCCCUCUCGGAUACUUCUCGCAUGGUGGCCCUAAUGAUAUUCUGGAGAUCAUGGCACGUUCGUAAUGAGAUCAUUCAUGACAAGGAACUGCCCCCCACAGAAGUUUCCUGCAGAUUCUUGCAUAGCUAUAUUUCUUCGCUUCUAUGUAUUCAGCAGCACCCAAUGGGAGACGUUGUAAAAGGCAAAAUGGUGCUCACAGACCCGGCAUGCCUAGCUGGUGUAGUUGCUGCGCCGGCGCCGAGCACGAGAGGCACAGACCCGCGACCAACAGAGAAGUGGGAGCCUCCCCCUGCUGGAUGGCUAAAGCUGAACGUCGACGGUGCCUUCUCCGAGCAUGCGGGUAAUGGUGGAGCUGGUAUGGUCCUGAGGAACAGCGACGGCAACAUUAUCUUCACUUCAUGCAGACACUUGUUUGCAUGUGAUAAUGCACUACGAGCUGAGUUGGAGGCGUGCAAAGAGGGAAUUUCUCUUGCGCUGGAAUGGAGUUCGUUGCCUUUUAUCAUUGAAACGGACAGCUCAGUGGCUGCAAGGAUGAUCAGCCAAGCUGCUGUUGAUCGAUCUAAGGAUGCUGCACUAGUCCAGGAGAUCAAAAUGCUAACCAGGGGUGAUAGGAGGGUCCAGGUGAAGGCUAUUAAACGUGAGAGGAAUCAGGUUAGUCACGAGCUUGCUCGUAUAGCUCGUACAGACAUAAAAACUGCAGUUUGGCUGGGUUCUGGCCCUGAAGGGAUUGUAAAUCUUUGUGUACUGGAUCAGCUUGAUUCAGGUUGA
rnacentral:rRNA from 1 species